AGAACAGGAGUUAACUGCAUGGAGUAAACCAGUAGAAGUUUGAAGGAAUCUUUUGCUUUUUACUUUGCUUAAAAUGUUGCUGAUCCUUUGUUUUGUUUUUAGAGACAAGGAAAUUUUUCUUUUGAGCUAUUUACAGCUUUUAACAAUUGAGUAAAGUAUACUCCUGUGAACAAAAUUUGGAGCAUAUUUGUUUCUCUCUACCUGAUUUCUCCAGAAUUUGAAAACUAGUUGCUAGAAUUCUUAACUUAUGGCAGUAUAGUUAUUUGCAUAAGUGCAAUUAGAAUCUGUUUUCUUUUGUAGCAGGGCACAAUUGGAAAAACUGGUUAUUUUACCAAGACUUUGACUGGAAUAGUGUGCUUUCCUUUAAGGAAUCAAACUUGACUUGUAGAGCCAAUAAAAUCCCUUGGGAAAACUGGCCUGAUACCUUGCCUCCACAGUCCCUGUAUAGGGUUUCUGACCUGUGGUAAGUAAAGAAUGUCAUUUUCUAUCAGGCCCAGGGUCCCAAGUUAUCUUGGAACCUCAAGAGGAGAGGAAUUUACUCAAUUCAUAGAUAUUUGAGGGUACAAACCCAUGGCAAGGCUCGGCUCUAAUAAAAGCCUUAUCUAAAAUUCCUUCUAUGGAACAGAGUUCCAUCAAAGCCAAUUUACAAAGAGCUUAUGUAAAAAAUAAUUAUUCUUGCAGCACUUUAGACAAAUAAUUAGGCCAAGUAUAAAAAGGCAAAUUGAUCUUGCCAUAAUUUGUCUUUAGUCAAAAUGGGAAACUGGAGAGAGAAAUACUAUGUUUCAAAAACUAUGGUACACUUGUUAUGAAAUUCUAGUCUCAUCAGUUGUUUUUAAGUUUGUUUCUGCAAUUUAGGCUAACCCUGCUUAUUCCUGUAAACCAACCAGUGAUCUCUGACUGCUGCUUAAAAGAAACAAGACAGAUGGGUAAUGUAAAAUGUGAAUCAAUAUUCUAAUUCUGCCUAUCAACGCUGUAUCAGCUUGGCUCCAACAGUUGCCCAGUUCAUGGAAAGCCUUCUAAUUUAGUUUACUUGGAAUAAUUUUACUUAUUUUGCUUUACAGUUGUGGAAUAUAUUGCUAUUGAAAUCUUGUUGUGUAGGAAUAAGGAUAUGCUUACUCAAUGUUUUCUUAAACACUUAUUAAUCUUCCAGAUAUCACCUCUUGUCGAAACUCAGAGUUAGGAAUGGCCAUUACUAUGCUGAAGCUUUCUGACUGAGCUCCUCUCUACCCUAAUACAAAGGACUCUCACAGUUAGUCAUCCUGGCUGGGAUCCUGGGUCUCCACAAAAAAGGAUGUCACUGGAACCUGCUCAACCACAUUCCAGUGGGAAGGAGAGAGCCCUUCUGCCUGCCCCCAAGACUCAAAUCCUUGAAGCUCCUUCAGGACUUCAGAACAUGUAGGAGUUCUCCUGGCUGCCCAGCUCACCUAUCUUAAAACCCUGCGAAUGGGAGCUGGAUGACUUCAUAGAAACUUCAGAGAAAUUGCUACAACAGUUUAUACCUGGACAACGUUGGUGCCUGAGGCUGUGUUGGCCACACAGAAAGUUCACCAGAAACCUGAUGAUAUCACCAGAGACAUCCAAGCUGCAAGCCAGGAACACCCAUCGGAUUGAAACUGCCACACCAGAAGAAGAAAAAACAAAUGCUAUUUCUACGUGAAUACAUCAGGAAUAGAUGCCCAAAUCUUGGAUCUUUAGAAAUAUAAAAGGCCAGGUCCAGGUGCUCCACCAGAUGUGGGAAAUACCGUCAACUGAUCUAGUUAAAUCAAGAGAUUAAAUCUCGGCUCUUGGGGACCCUAGUUUCAGGGUACUUUCCAAACUCUUGGCAUUUUCCUCUCAUUAGUCCUACUGAUAACAUUUCCUAUAUGUUGCUUCUCUCAAGAGUCUUAAAUGCUUGUGAGCAGCCACUGACUCAUCACAUGAUCUCAGGAGGAUGGAGGAACAAAAACUGCUUCAGUUGGAAUUGUCGAAAAAAGCCUACUGAAACUCUGCUUCAUGAUCUUCAGACGGCCAUGGAGACAAAGACAUGUGGAAACCGAGUGUAGCACUCAGCAGUGGGUCACACUCUGAGUCCGACUGAGAGAAUGACCCAAAUUGGGCAGUUGUUAAAAAGAAACAGCAAAAUAGAUGGCCAGGUGUGGUGGCUCACGCCUGUAAUCCCAGCACUUUGGGAGACCAAGGUGGGUGGAUCACUUCACCAACAUGGUGAAACCCCCUCUCUACAAAAAGUACAAAAAAAUUAGCCUUGUGUGGUGGUGUACGCCUGUAAUCCCAGAUACUCCGGAAGCUGAGGCAUGAGAAUCACUUGAACCCAAGAGGCAGAGGUUGCAGUGAGCCGAGAUCAUGCCAUUGCACUCCAGCCUGGAGUAUAAGACCCUGUUGAAAGAAAGAACAAAGAAAGAAAGAGAAAGAAAGAAAGAGAGAGAGAGAGAGAGAAGGAAGGAAGGAAGGAAGGAAGGAAGGAAGGUAGGAAGGAAGGAAGGAAGGGAAAGAGGCCCUGAGCCGACUAGCUAUGGCCAUGUAACUGAAACAGAAUUGAUCCUGAUUUCCCCUCAAAUGCUGGUUCUAAUCACAAAUAAAAAUUAAGCUUUUCUUCCUUGCCAACCUGAAAACA